rnacentral:rRNA from 1 species
UCGAACGCUGGCGGCGUGCUUAACACAUGCAAGUCGAACGGAAAGGCCCUGCUUUUGUGGGGUGCUCGAGUGGCGAACGGGUGAGUAACACGUGAGUAACCUGCCCUUGACUUUGGGAUAACUUCAGGAAACUGGGGCUAAUACCGGAUAGGAGCUCCUGCUGCAUGGUGGGGGUUGGAAAGUUUCGGCGGUUGGGGAUGGACUCGCGGCUUAUCAGCUUGUUGGUGGGGUAGUGGCUUACCAAGGCUUUGACGGGUAGCCGGCCUGAGAGGGUGACCGGCCACAUUGGGACUGAGAUACGGCCCAGACUCCUACGGGAGGCAGCAGUGGGGAAUAUUGCACAAUGGGCGGAAGCCUGAUGCAGCAACGCCGCGUGCGGGAUGACGGCCUUCGGGUUGUAAACCGCUUUCGCCUGUGACGAAGCGUGAGUGACGGUAAUGGGUAAAGAAGCACCGGCUAACUACGUG